GAUGAACGCUAGCGGGAGGCUUAAUACAUGCAAGUCGAGCGGCAAGUUUUGAUAGCAAUAUUGGAACCUAGAGCGGCGCACGGGUGAGUAACGCGUACAUGACCUGCCCUAUACUGGGGGAUAGUCUUGGGAAACUGAGAAUAAUCCCGCAUGUGAUUAGAAUGCUGCAUGGCAAAUUAAUUAAAGCUGAGGCGGUAUAGGAUGGGUGUGCGUCUGAUUAGCUAGUUGGUAGUGUAACGGACUACCAAGGCGAUGACGGGUAGCUGGUCUUAGAGGAUGGUCAGCUACAUUGGAACUGCGACACGGUCCAGACUCCUACGGGAGGCAGCAGUGGGGAAUCAUGGUCAAUGGGCGAAAGCCUGAACCUGCGACGCCGCGUGAGUGAUGAAGGUCGUAAGAUCGUAAAACUCUUUUCAGGGAUCUUAAAGCUCCAGCUCUAACAUAGCUUGGAGUGUGACUAUCCCUGGAAUAACG
rnacentral:rRNA from 1 species